rnacentral:rRNA from 1 species
AUAUUGCGCAAUGGAGGAAACUCUGACGCAGCAACGCCGCGUGCAGGACGAAGGCCCUUUGGGUCGUAAACUGCUGUAGCAGGGGAAUAACGGCUCGCCACGGGUGAGCGUGAAGGUACCCUGAAAGUAAGCUCCGGCUAACUACGUGCCAGCAGCCGCGGUAAUACGUAGGGAGCAAGCGUUGUCCGGAUUCACUGGGUGUAAAGGGUGCGUAGGCGGGAAGGUAAGUCAGUGGUGAAAUCUCACAGCUCAACUGUGAAACUGCCGUUGAUACUGCUUUUCUUGAGUUCGGGAGAGGUUGAUAGAAUUCCAGGUGUAGCGGUGAAAUGCGUAGAUAUCUGGAAGAAUACCAGUGGCGAAGGCGGUCAACUGGCCCGAAACUGACGCUGAGGCACGAAAGCGUGGGGAGCGAACAGG